rnacentral:rRNA from 1 species
UAGCGGAACUCCUACGGGAGGCAGCAGUGGGGAAUAUUGGACAAUGGGCGAAAGCCUGAUCCAGCCAUGCCGCGUGAGUGAUGAAGGCCCUAGGGUUGUAAAGCUCUUUUACCUGGGAAGAUGAUGACGGUACCGCAAGAAUAAGCCCCGGCUAACUUCGUGCCAGCAGCCGCGGUAAUACGAAGGGGGCUAGCGUUGCUCGGAAUCACUGGGCGUAAAGGGUGCGUAGGCGGGUCUUUAAGUCAGGGGUGAAAUCCUGGAGCUCAACUCCAGAACUGCCUUUGAUACUGAGGAUCUUGAGUUCGGGAGAGGUGAGUGGAACUGCGAGUGUAGAGGUGAAAUUCGUAGAUAUUCGCAAGAACACCAGUGGCGAAGGCGGCUCACUGGCCCGAUACUGACGCUGAGGCACGAAAGCGUGGGGAGCAAACAGGAUUAGAAACCCUAGUAGUCCACUUAUG